rnacentral:rRNA from 1 species
AUACGGAGGAUGCGAGCGUUAUCCGGAUUUAUUGGGUUUAAAGGGUGCGUAGGCUGUGCGUUAAGUCAGGGGUGAAAUGCCGUCGCUCAACGACGGAGCUGCCCUUGAUACUGGCGUGCUGGAGUACGGAUGCCGUUGGAGGAAUGAGUGGUGUAGCGGUGAAAUGCUUAGAUAUCACUCAGAACACCGAUUGCGAAGGCAUCUGACGAAUCCGUCACUGACGCUGAGGCACGAAAGCGUGGGGAUAGAACAGGAUUAGAUACCCUGGUAGUCCACACUGUAAACGAUGAUAACUCGCUGUCGGCGAUACAUAGUCGGUGGCCAAGCGAAAGCGAUAAGUUAUCCACCUGGGGAGUACGACCGCAAGGUUGAAACUCAAAUGAAUUGACGGGG